rnacentral:tRNA from 1 species
UGAGGUAUAGCAUAAGUAAAUGUGUUUCGCUUACACUGAGAAGAUACUCUAGCUAGAGUUACCUUAA